rnacentral:rRNA from 1 species
GACGUAGGGCGCGAGCGUUGUCCGGAUUUAUUGGGCGUAAAGAGCUCGUAGGCGGCUUGUCGCGUCGUCCGUGAAAACCCACGGCUUAACUGUGGGCUUGCGGGCGAUACGGGCAGGCUAGAGUUCGGUAGGGGAGACUGGAAUUCCUGGUGUAGCGGUGAAAUGCGCAGAUAUCAGGAGGAACACCGGUGGCGAAGGCGGGUCUCUGGGCCGAUACUGACGCUGAGGAGCGAAAGCGUGGGGAGCGAACAGG